AUGCUCGCUUCGGCAGCACAUAUACUAAAANNNNAAUGAUACAGAGAAGAUUAGCAUGGCCCCUGCGCAAAAUUCUAGCUUCUUGUUUAUCAUAUAUUGCCAAUAUAA
rnacentral:snRNA from 1 species